rnacentral:rRNA from 1 species
UACAGAGGGUGCGAGCGUUAAUCGGAAUCACUGGGCUUAAAGGGCGCGUAGGCGGGCUGCCAAGUCCGGGGUGAAAUCCUCUGGCCCAACCAGAGAACGGCCUCGGAUACUGGCGGUCUGGAGGGGGGUAGGGGCACGCGGAACUGUGGGUGGAGCGGUGAAAUGCGUUGAGAUCCACAGGAACUCCGGUGGCGAAGGCGGCGUGCUGGACCCCACCUGACGCUGAGGCGCGAAAGCCAGGGGAGCGAACGGG